ACUUCUUUUUAAUGAGCUUAUGUCCUGGCAGAUAACCUAAUUGUGGAUGGGAAUGUUCCUGAAGAGGAAAUCUUGUCAGUGUUAGAUGUUCCUCCGGGAAAAAUGGGACGUGUCAUCGGAAAAAGAGGAGCUUCUAUCAUGUCAAUCAAGGAAUCUUGCAAUGCAGAGAUUCUCAUCGGAGGUUCCAAGGGACCACCUGACAAGGUAUUCAUCAUUGGACCUGUGAAGCAGGUGAGAAAAGCAGAAGCUAUUUUAAGGGGGAGGAUGCUGGAAAUGUACUGACAGCGUCGAGUGAAAUGGUUCACCCUUCAUCUAUGCUGAUGCUGAAAUGUUCGGUUCUUCGUUAAGACAGUAUAUAUUAUAAGGGGCUUGAUGAUUAAAUACCUCCGACCAUCGUGUCUUUGUGUAAAAAGAUGCUCAAUCAUGUAGAGAAGCUGUUCUCUGCUAAUAUUGGUAAUGCUAUUGGACCUAUUUCUUUUCAUAGGCUAAAAAUCAGGCAUUGGCUUGCAAGUUACAGGUA